GCUAUUGCUAUCAGGGUUUGACUAAGCCAUGCGAGUCGAGAGGUGUAAGACCUCGGCAUACUGCUCAGUAACACGUGGAUAAUCUGCCCUCAGGUGAGGAAUAAUCCCGGGAAACUGGGGCUAAUGCCUCAUAGGAGACGGGUGCUGGAAUGCUCUGUCUCCCAAAGGUCCGCCGCCUGAGGAUGAGUCUGCGUCCGAUUAGGUUGUUGUUGGGGUAACGGCCCAACAAGCCAUUGAUCGGUACGGGUUGUGGGAGCAAGAGCCCGGAGAUGGAUUCUGAGACAUGAAUCCAGGCCCUACGGGGCGCAGCAGGCGCGAAAACUUUACAAUGCGAGCAAUCGUGAUAAGGAAACCCUGAGUGCCUGUCAAUGCAGGCUGUUCUGGUGUCUAACACGCACCAGGAGAAAGGGCGGGGCAAGACCGGUGCCAGCCGCCGCGGUAAUACCGGCUGCUCGAGUGAUAGCCGCUUUUACUGGGCUUAAAGCGUUCGUAGCUUGGUUGUCAAGUCUCUGGGGAAAUCUUCUGGCUUAACCAGAAGGCGUCUCAGGGAAACUGGCGACCUAGGAACCGGGAGAGGUGAGACGUACUUCGGGGGUAGGAGUGAAAUCUUGUAAUCCCCGAGGGACGACCGAUGGCGAAGGCAUCUCACCAGAACGGCUUCGACAGUGAGGGACGAAAGCUGGGGGAGCAAACCGGAUUAGAUACCCG
rnacentral:rRNA from 1 species